UUUUACAUUUGUUAGUGUAUAUAUGUCCAUGCCACUGUCUCACUUCGUCCCAGCUUACCCUUCCCCCUCCCUGUGUCCUCAAGUCCAUUCUCUACGUCUGUGUCUUUAUUCCUGUCCUGCCCCUAGGUUCAUCAGAACCUUUUUUUUUUUUUUUUUUUUUAGAUUCAGCAUAUAUGUGUUAGCACCAUGCACGAAUUUGAACUCAUGGAAGCCAGUUAUGGGCCUAAGUCAUCAGGCGUGGAGGCAGUGGUUUCACAAAUGUCUUGCCCUUGCUGACCUCUCACCCCAUAUUCCUCUGACCCUUCGUGAGCAUCUUUGCUGGUCCAGGUGGCAUACAUGGUGGAGUAACCUAGACCCUUAGCCCUGAGCGGUCUGAGUCCCUGAUUAUAAUGUCCUUCUUAGGCCAUGCCUGCUGCAUUUGCCCAUUUAUCAGCAAAAUUGGGCAAGGGAGAACCAAGUGACGUCUAAGAGAAUCACCGGCAUGCCGUCCACGAUCUUUUUUGCCAUCAUUGCAUAACAGCAGACUCAUCUUCUCCUAAAGAUCAGGGUCUUUUCCUGCUGGUUUCUCAGCAUGAAAAAAUUCAAGAAGAUGGGCGGAAAUAUUCACCCUCUGGGAGAGCCAGAACCUCUAAAUCUGCAGAGUCCAGAACUGUGGAGCAGGAAGCACAAGUUUCCAAAGUGGACCACUUGGGAUUGUGAUGCCACCGUGCUUUCAUCAGCCUCUGGCCCACCGUCUCCUUGAGGUGCUUUACGGUAGGAGCUUGUUGUCCAUCUAUUCUAUAGAUAGCUCAUUUCUUUCCUAGCCCUGAAUAAUAUUCUACUGUCUGGAUGUGCCGUAAUUUGUUUAUCCAUUUACCUACUGAAGAAAAUCUUGGUUGCUUCCAAGUUUUGGCAGUUGUCAAUAUAGCUGCUAUAAAUAUCUGUGUGCAGGUUUUUGUAUGGAUAAAAGUUUUCAUCUUUUGGGGGAAAUACCAAGGAGUGUGAUUAUGGGUUGAAUGGUAAGACUAUGUAAAUAAUUCUCAUUCCUCCCUCCCAUCCCUUGUAGCAUUGCUGUCAUUCAUUUCACUUAUAUAUAAGUAUACAUAAGCAUAUAUAUAAUAUAUAUUAGUAUGCAUAAUCGAAUGCACUGUUAUUAUUAUUAUUUUGAACUUAUCUGUUAGAUCAAUCAAGAAUAAGAAAAAUAAGUUUCUAUUUUACCUUCACUUAUUCCUUUGUUCAGUGUUCCUGCUUACUUUAUGUAAAUCCAAGAUUCUGACCUAUAUUACUUUCCUUCUCUAUAAAGAACUUCUUUAACAUUUCUUGCAAGACAGCUCUACUGGCAACAAAUUCCUUCAAUUUUUGUUUGUUUGAGAAAGUCUUUAUUUCUCCUUCACUUUUGAAGGAUAUUUUCAUAGAAUUUACAGAAUUCUAG